rnacentral:rRNA from 1 species
UGGAGAGUUUGAUCCUGGCUCAGAUUGAACGCUGGCGGCAGGCCUAACACAUGCAAGUCGAACGGUAGCACAGAGAGCUUGCUCUCGGGUGACGAGUGGCGGACGGGUGAGUAAUGUCUGGGAAACUGCCUGAUGGAGGGGGAUAACUACUGGAAACGGUAGCUAAUACCGCAUAACGUCGCAAGACCAAAGAGGGGGACCUUCGGGCCUCUUGCCAUCAGAUGUGCCCAGAUGGGAUUAGCUAGUAGGUGGGGUAACGGCUCACCUAGGCGACGAUCCCUAGCUGGUCUGAGAGGAUGACCAGCCACACUGGAACUGAGACACGGUCCAGACUCCUACGGGAGGCAGCAGUGGGGAAUAUUGCACAAUGGGCGCAAGCCUGAUGCAGCCAUGCCGCGUGUAUGAAGAAGGCCUUCGGGUUGUAAAGUACUUUCAGCGGGGAGGAAGGUGUUGUGGUUAAUAACCGCAGCAAUUGACGUUACCCGCAGAAGAAGCACCGGCUAACUCCGUGCCAGCAGCCGCGGUA